rnacentral:tRNA from 3 species
GGGGGUGUAUUGAUAAUGGUAAUCAGUUGUGUUUGCAUCACAAAAAUCUGGAUUCGAUUUCCAGCUCCUCCA